ensembl:snRNA U6 U6 spliceosomal RNA
GGGCUUGCUUUGGCAGUGCGUGUACUAAAUUUGGACCAGUAUACAGAUUAGCACGACCUUUGUGUAAGGAUGAUAUGCAAAUUCAUGAAGUUUUUUUUUUUUUU